rnacentral:misc_RNA from 1 species
CUUUGGUCUCCUGUGUAGGCCCAAACCCCAUUACACUCCUCAUUACAGAUUUCAUAAGGAAAAAAGAAAACUAAACCAUCAUCAUUUAUGGCCAUGAAUCAAGCGGCGGUGGUGAAGGUGGUUCUGGGGUUCAUGGGUCUCUGCUUGGCUGGUUACAUACUGGGACCCCCUCUUUACUGGCACUUCAAGGAGGGUUUAGCUGCCGUCAGCCACUCUUCCUCCACUUGCUCUCCUUGUGUUUGUGAUUGUUCUUCUCAGCCUCUUCUCUCCAUCCCUCA